AGGGUAAAAAGUUUAGGGAUUAUUUUAAAUUUUAGACUUACUUUUUUAAUUAUUUUUUUAUAAUUUGCAUUUUAUAAUUUUUUUUUUAUAAUUUCAGGCAGGUCCGAGGUAGGGGAUCAGGGUACUUGACCUGUCCCGUUCCGUGCCCUAUUCUGGCAAAGCGAGGUGGAUACCAGGACAGGGCCGCCCUGCCCCUGACCCGCCCCGUUCUCACCCCUAGAUUUGGGAAAGACACACGAUUGGGAAAUUCAGAAUCGAUUUGCCAAAAUCGCAAGCACAGAUCGUCUUUAGAACGUCUUCAACAAAAAACGAAUCAUGCAGAAAUUAUAUUGUCAGAUCAUCUUCAACAAACAACAACGAACGCAAACACAAAGAAAUUGCAGACGGCAGUGCAUAAAUUGCAGACGCAAGGACCGAAAAGAAAUCGUCAGACUGUGUCAAAAUGUCAAAAAAUCGCAAGAGUCCGAACGCGCAGACGCAAGAAUUGCACAAGAGAGAAAAUUCCGACGCAAGAGUGCAAGAAAUGUCAGAAAACAGAAGAAAAUUAUUUUCAAACAAUAUUCCAAUCACUUUGGGGAAAAAAGAAACUUGAAUUGGGGAAAAAUUGUUGAGGAGGAAAUUGUUAAUCACCCAAGUUGAUUUCAACAUGUCAGAAAACAUCAAACAAGGUUGGUUAACAAAAUAAUACUAAAAUGUAUUAACUUCAAAAACCAAUUCACACUCAUCCAAUAUCUAUUUAUAUUGUAUGUCUAUAUUUGUUAUAUCAAACUAUAAGGUCUAUUCUAAUAUUUGUCUAAUAGUUUGCGAAAAUAAGUGUGUUUUUGGUUGAAAAU
rnacentral:lncRNA from 1 species